rnacentral:rRNA from 1 species
UUGGAGGGCAAGUCUGGUGCCAGCAGCCGCGGUAAUUCCAGCUCCAAUAGCGUAUAUUAAAGUUGUUGCAGUUAAAAAGCUCGUAGUUGAAUUUUGGAUUCGGCCAAUUGGUCCAUCUUUUAGAUGAGUACUGGUUGUGUUGGGUCUAUCCGCCUGGUGAUACGUAAUGUCCUUUAUUGGGUGUUGCGGGUAGUCAGGACCUUUACCUUGAAAAAAUUAGAGUGUUUAAAGCAGGCUUAUGCCGGAAUACAUUAGCAUGGAAUAAUAGAAUAGGACGAAGUUGUUUUAUUUUGUUGGUUUCUAGGACAACCGUAAUGAUUAAUAGGGAUAGUUGGGGGCAUUAGUAUUCAAUUGUCAGAGGUGAAAUUCUUGGAUUUAUUGAAGACUAACUACUGCGAAAGCAUUUGCCAAGGAUGUUUUCAUUAAUCAAGAACGAAAGUUAGGGGAUCGAAGACGAUCAGAUACCGUCGUAGUCUUAACCAUAAACUAUGCCGACUAGGGAUCGGGCGAUGUUGUUUCCAUGACUCGCUCGGCACCUUAUGGGAAACCAAAGUGUUUGGGUUC